UACGGAGGGAGCUAGCGUUGUUCGGAAUUACUGGGCGUAAAGCGCACGUAGGCGGCUUUGUAAGUUAGAGGUGAAAGCCCGGGGCUCAACCCCCGGAAUUGCCUUUAAGACUGCAUCGCUAGAAUUGUGGAGAGGUAAGUGGAAUUCCGAGUGUAGAGGUGAAAUUCGUAGAUAUUCGGAAGAACACCAGUGGCGAAGGCGACUUACUGGACACAUAUUGACGCUGAGGUGCGAAAGCGUGGGGAGCAAACAGG
rnacentral:rRNA from 1 species